GGAACCUGAAUCUGGGGUGUUUUCACAGGGAGGGGGUGGGAGGAGGAAAAGCAGUGACAAAGGCGGGGAAGGAACAGCUCUGAGAGGAAGGAGAGCCAGAGAACGUUCUGUCACAGCAGCUCAACACAGUGCUGGCCUCCCACCCCGCCCUGCAGAACCUCCGUAUGCUAGACUCUCCCCACUCCAGCCAGGGACAAUGUGGGUAACAGCUGGCAAGGGAGGUAGUGUCUUGAGGGUAAAAGGUAGCAAGAAAUCAGGCCUGUGUCCUGGCCACAGGAAACCUGGGACCUCUGUCUCUGGGCAAAACCUUUUCCUGACCUUGGCCUCAGUUUCCCCUCACAUAAAAUACAGGGCUUGCGUGUGUCUGGAUGAACAUGCCUGAUCACCAUGAUAAUCACCCAGUAGAAGUCCACAUCCCCUGUUGUUCAGGCCUCCCUCUUCUGAAGAGCUGGGAGUGUGCGUUCCCAUAGCCACUCACAUGUUAAUAGGAAAAUACUACAGGGCUUGACCAAUUUAAUGUCUCAUUGUUUUUAGCUUUUUUAAACUGUAACCCUUGAAUGUAAGAGAAUAAAAAAGUUUUCACGCACAUGAAUGCACAACUGAAUCCAAAGCUUCAAGAUACAAUAUAAUGUGUUGC
rnacentral:lncRNA from 1 species